GGGUCAUAGCUCAGUGGUAGAGCAUCUGCUUUACUUGCAGAAGGUCCCAGACUCAAUCCCUGGCAUCUCCA